AGCUGGCUGCAUCUGAAACAAGAGGAGAGAUGGGUAGGAGACGGGGGCAUCCAGGGCCCAGAUACAUCAAACGCAGCCCUGAUCUCUGUGCACACAAGCCACUGGGGUUGCAACAAGGGCAUCAACGUCUCUAAAGGCAGAGACAGGGGUCUGAGUGAACCUAGCUCUGCCCUAACUUGAGGUGACUGACCUAGCCCUAUGCAUUGAGGAUGAGUCUCCUUACCUUCAAAAUGGCCCUGAUAACCUCUCUUGAGGGUUGUUAUGAGGCUUGAGUGAGAUAGGAGUGUACAGCAGUUCCAGCACAGGCCUCUCCCACAACAGAUGAGUGAUUUGCUGCAAGGAUACAGGGAGAGACAAGCUAACUCUAAUGGUGGGGUGAUGUCAAGGGAGGUUUGGUGGGGAGCAACCCUGAGCUGGGCUUUGAAGGAUGGAGGCUGGUAAAGGAGGAGCUAUUCCAGGCAAAAGCAGCUGGGAUAGGCCUGCUUGGAGGUGGGGUGCUGGAGACAGGGGUGCCCAGCCUGUUCACAAUAAGAAGUAACCACGGUAAAGAUACAAAUAGUGUCCUGGGACAGAAGCCAAGCCACCUUGUUAUCUACUUUACCAGCUAAGCCCAGAGAGGGUGGAGCAGGCUCAAGGUCGGCUGCGGAGAUCCUGGCCUCAGCUUCCCAGCAGAGGGCUCUUCUGCAGAAAGUGAUCCCAGGAUAGGGGGCUGCCAUGGGAGUCAGGGAUUUGCACCCCAAAUUUCAGGUGGUAUCUGAGCUCUGUGUGUCCUUCCUACCCACCUCUCAGACAAGGUCUCCAAGCACAGAAGCUGAGCUAUUCCGGGUGGCCUGGAAGGAAGUAUCAGAACCAGGUGCUACUUACAUCUGAUAAACUCAAGUGGUGGACAGAACAGAGAGGGCCUCCUCCAAGGUGACUUGCUAAGUCCUCCCCUAACGACGAAAUAGAGAAGCUUCCUGCCCCUGUUACACAUGGCCUCCUCCCGGGCCCAGCAGCUCACCUGGACCACGGAAAGCACAGAAAGAACUGGCUGAAUGAAUCAAGAGAUCAAGUGUUCUCCCUGAGGCCCUGUAACAGCUCUGCAGCUGACUGCCCAGAAGGAAGCAGAAGUGAGUGACAAGUUGGGGGAACCAGAGCUUGCACACCAUAGGCCUGAACACUAGCCUCUGGGGAAAGGCAAGUCCAGCUGACCUUGGUGAAGUUAGGACCCGGGCCGAGGCCACCUCUUCUGGUUCACCCUCUGCUGGCCUCCCAGCUUCUUUGGCUCAGCAACACCCAGGAUUCCAGGCAUGUUUGCCUCUGGCCUUCUAAAAAUACCCAGGCCACCCAGCACCUCCCAGAUGUCUGAGCGCUGAGUCUGUGAUUUCCCUGCCGGUAAUGGGACAGCCCCGGGGUGGGCAGGCGGGGGUGGCUCGAGCAGCUCAAGCCACUUCCUCUGCCUCCCAUCCCCUAGCCUACCAGAAGCUGGACCCAGCCCUGCCUCCCAAUCCUUGCAAGGCAAAGGAGGGUAGAGGCUAGCAGACCUCAGAGAUUGUUGACUCCAGUCUCUUCUUGGGACAGAUGGGAGAUCUGAAGUCUAAGGAUUGCUCAUGGCACUUGUGCCAUUAAGGUCCUCCUCACCCCACUCCCCAGCACUGUGUUCAUGCCUGCUGCUGUCUCACUUCCCACAUGCUACUUGGAGUCUAGGUCUUGGAGCCCAACCUGACUUCCUCCAUGCAGCUGAAAGCUCCUGACAGCAGUGAAGGGGAGGAUCCCUGUGGUCUCCAUGGUGCCUGGAAGAGUGUCCAAUCCAGAGCACACCAUCAGUAAACGUAGAUUGGAUUGAACAAUGUAGUGGCAGCUGGGGCAAUGGGUGGAGCACUGGGCUGGAGGACAAAGCCUCUGAAUUCUAUCUAGCCCAGGGUCAGCCACUGUGAUACUAUGCAUCCUCAUCAAUUGCCCUGGACAAACCUGUUUCUCCUGGGCUGGAUAGGAUGGUGUCUAAGGACUGAGCCAGCUCUGCUGAUAUGAAGCUGCAAGCUGAUGCCCUGCUGGAUAUUCCUGUCCCUUCUCUGCUCUACUGUAUGUCUGGGAGAGAUGGCACAACCUGUAGGUUCCAUCAGCUCCAGGUUCUCAGCUUCUGCUCCUCCCUCCGUGCUUCUGAACAUUCCACCUCUGGUCCUAGCCCCUGAGGCCCAGCUCUUCCAAUAGUGCCACUUCCACCUCUGCUGCUGGGUACACAGGGGUGAAUGCAUACCUACCUCGCUCACUAAUCAUGUGACCUUGGGUAAGGCAUUGCCCUUUUCUGGGCUUCAGUUUUAUCAUAUCUAAAAGGGAAUAAUAAGGCCUACCUUAAAGGAGUGCUAUGAGGAUGUAGGAGAUUCCAUAGCUCAGAUGUCAGGUUAUAUAUCACCUCCUGCAGAAAGUCUCCCCUGUCCUCCCAAGGAUGGCUCAGAUAGCAUUUGUUGCUGGCUCUUCAGUUCUGACCUUCCCAUGUUCACACUAUGUGGUCAUUGGCUCUCUAUGCAUCCAUCCCCCACCAAGCUGUGGGCUCCUCAAGGCCAGGAGUCUCCAGGACCCAGUACAGGACCUUUACAGAUGAAGUGCCUGGGAACGUUUUUUGACAGACACAGUGGGUGAGUAAAGCCUGAGAGAAAGGCAAGGGGUUGUGCAGAAGUCUGGGAGUCUGAGUAAGAAGUGGCCUGACUGACAGGGCAAGUUCUGGUGGUAUGAAUAUUGACAGCUGCUUGGAGCCCUUCCCCCAUUUCCCUGCUUGGUAAAUUCAUCCUUCAAGAUCCCAGGAGAGCAUCUCCUUCCCUGAGAAACCUGAUCACUCUCCCCUCUACCACAUUACACACUCCACUGUAGGUGUUCUUUACACACCUGUCUCCCUUCUCAGAUGUGAGUUCCCUGAAGGCAAGACCCUGUUGGAUCUCACAGCACCAAGCACUAGAUCUGGCAUGAGUUAGUCAAGGUUUUGGAGCAGAAGAAUGGAUGGAGGAAAUAAUUUCUGAAUCGAACUUGGAAUUGAACUGCCUGAACUUUAAUGCCCUUUCCAGCCUUAGGGAUGAUAAUGAAUUACCAAAGUGAGAAAAAUGGAGGCGCAAGCUGUUGUCAUCCUUCCAGAGGCACCCUCCAAGUGUGUGUGGGUGAAAUGUGAGCUGGAGAGAGGAUUGACAAAGAGCAGUGAAAACAUAUUCCUGGACCCCAUUCUUUUUUUUUUUUUUUUUUUUUUUGAGA
rnacentral:lncRNA from 1 species